rnacentral:rRNA from 1 species
GAUGAACGCUAGCGGGAGGCCUAAUACAUGCAAGUCGAGCGGUAGAGUGACUUCGGUUGCUUGAGAGCGGCGAACGGGUGAGUAACGCGUACACAAUCUACCUUUAAGAGGGGAAUAGCCCUGGGAAACUGGGAUUAAUGCCCCAUGGCAUCACGAGACGGCAUCGUUUUGUGAUUAAAGCUGAGGUGCUUAGAGAUGAGUGUGCGUCUGAUUAGCUAGUUGGUGCGGUAACGGCGCACCAAGGCGACGAUCAGUAGGGGGGCGUGAGAGCGUGGACCCCCACACGGGUACUGAGACACGGACCCGACUCCUACGGGAGGCAGCAGUAAGGAAUAUUGGUCAAUGGAGGAAACUCUGAACCAGCCAUCCCGCGUGCAGGAAGAAUGCCCUAUGGGUUGUAAAGCUCUUUCAGCAGGAACGAAACGGUGGUCCCUAAUACGGACUACUAAUGACGGUACCUGAAGAAGAAGCACCGGCUAACUACGUGCCAGCAGCC